GUGGGGCUGUGGCUCAGUGGCAGAGCGCUCGCCUAGCUCGUGUGAGGCACUGGGUUCGAUUCUCAGCAUCACA
rnacentral:tRNA from 1 species